rnacentral:lncRNA from 1 species
GGACUCCCUAUAGGGUCCUGCUGAUCGGUACCUUCCCUGGCUUCUUCCCCAGUACCUGGCCCCUCACCCAGCUCAAGGAUGGUUGGAAAUGCUGUCAUUGUUAAUCACUUGGCCUGAGCUACAUCUGUCUUGCCUCCAAGAGUUGAAGACAGCAGGUUGGUGAGAGGGCUUCUGGAGCAACAGCUGCUGGAGGAUCGAUGCUCUCAGCUUCUCCCUCUCCCUGCCAUCUGCUGCCCCUGGCCUUGUUCUGGAGCCCAGACCACUCGGCCUGGUGGUAGGUGUGCCCCCAACCUACCACACCCAUUGGUGAGCUACUGGUUCCAAGCAAGCCCCGUGUCUCUUACACUGAGGACAGUUCGACUUGCUGCAAGAGUGUGUUUACACUGUCAGCUCAAAAGUCACAGGCAGCUCCCCUUGGGCCCUCUUGAAGCUGGGAGAUGAAUUCAUUUUGUUCCUUGGAAACUGAAGGGUAAAACUCAAACGCGAGAUUCAACUGCCUCGAAUCCUGCCUGCAAUUCGUUGGUUGUGACAUUACUGUUGGGUUCUACGUCUAUGUCAUUAACAAAGUCAACCCAGCAUCCUGAAGAUGGCUGACAAUUGACAGCCUAGAGGCAGGUAGGUAAGGAUUUGAAUCUAUCUCUGCAGCUUACCAGCUUCAAGGUCUUAGCCAGUCAAAUGGCAAAAAUGUUUGUCCCCAUUCACUCUUAAGUGUUUGUUACAUCCCUGCUAUGUGCCAAUGACCUAGGCACUGGCAUCGCAAUGAUGAACAAGUGGAUAGGAACCCUGUUUUCCUUCUAUCAGGAAGGCCCUGACUGCAAGCGUGAGGAGAAGCUGUCCGAGAGGAAUGAACAGGUUCAUUCAUACAGUUCCCAAAUGCAGAAUGGACUGAGCCUGUGUGUGUGCACCGGCAGACCAGAGACCUAGCUAGCCACGGUGGCUCACACCUGCAAUUCUAGCACUUGGAAAGAAGCAGAGGCAGGGGCAUUGUGAUGUUAAAGCUAGCAUGGCCUACAUAGACUUUAAAAAAAAACCUCAAAAAGCAGGGCAUGGUGGCGCAUGCCUAUGAUUCCAGCACUGGGCAGGCAGAGGCCGAGAGAGGCAGGCAGAGGCUGAGAGAGGCAGGCAGAUCUCUUAGGAAUUCGAGGCCUGUCUAUUUUGCAUAGUGAGUUACAGGCCAGGCAAGGCUAUACAACAAAGAUCUUGUCUCACAAAUAAAAUACAAAACCAGGAGGGAACUGAGAUUCAAGGAGCUGUGGCUGACUGACUGGUAAGAGAAGAAACUCUGAUGUGAAAGAGGAGGGAGCCCACGACUGAAGGUCUGGAGACAUGAAGCAUCUAAGCACGGAGCCAUUGGGGGCUGCCUGAGACUGACAGGGCCGCUCUGGAAGGAACCUUCUGGUUCCUUGCAGCC